rnacentral:rRNA from 1 species
GGGUUGUGAGGUUAAGCGACUAAGCGUACACGGUGGAUGCCCUGGCAGUCAGAGGCGAUGAAGGACGUGCUAAUCUGCGAAAAGCGUCGGUAAGGUGAUAUGAACCGUUAUAACCGGCGAUGUCCGAAUGGGGAAACCCAGUGCAAUUCGUUGCACUAUCGUUAACUGAAUACAUAGGUUAACGAGGCGAACCGGGGGAACUGAAACAUCUAAGUACCCCGAGGAAAAGAAAUCAACCGAGAUUCCCCCAGUAGCGGCGAGCGAACGGGGAGCAGCCCAGAGUCUGAAUCAGCUUGUGUGUUAGUGGAACGGUCUGGAAAGUCCGACGGUACAGGGUGAUAGUCCCGUACACCAAAAUGCACAGGUUGUGAACUCGAAGAGUAGGGCGGGACACGUGGUAUCCUGUCUGAAUAUGGGGGGACCAUCCUCCAAGGCUAAAUACUCCUGACUGACCGAUAGUGAACCAGUACCGUGAGGGAAAGGCGAAAAGAACCCCGGCGAGGGGAGUGAAAAAGAACCUGAAACCGUGUACGUACAAGCAGUGGGAGCACCUUCGGGUGUGACUGCGUACCUUUUGUAUAAUGGGUCAGCGACUUAUAUUCUGUAGCAAGGUUAACCGUAUAGGGGAGCCGCAGGGAAACCGAGUCUUAACUGGGCGUUAAGUUGCAGGGUAUAGACCCGAAACCCGGUGAUCUAGCCAUGGGCAGGUUGAAGGUUGGGUAACACUAACUGGAGGACCGAACCGACUAAUGUUGAAAAAUUAGCGGAUGACUUGUGGCUGGGGGUGAAAGGCCAAUCAAACCGGGAGAUAGCUGGUUCUCCCCGAAAGCUAUUUAGGUAGCGCCUCGUGAAUUCAUCUUCGGGGGUAGAGCACUGUUUCGGCUAGGGGGUCAUCCCGACUUACCAACCCGAUGCAAACUACGAAUACCGAAGAAUGUUAUCACGGGAGACACACGGCGGGUGCUAACGUCCGUCGUGAAGAGGGAAACAACCCAGACCGCCAGCUAAGGUCCCAAAGUCAUGGUUAAGUGGGAAACGAUGUGGGAAGGCACAGACAGCCAGGAUGUUGGCUUAGAAGCAGCCAUCAUUUAAAGAAAGCGUAAUAGCUCACUGGUCGAGUCGGCCUGCGCGGAAGAUGUAACGGGGCUAAACCAUGCACCGAAGCUGCGGCAGCGACACUAUGUGUUGUUGGGUAGGGGAGCGUUCUGUAAGCCUGCGAAGGUGUGCUGUGAGGCAUGCUGGAGGUAUCAGAAGUGCGAAUGCUGACAUAAGUAACGAUAAAGCGGGUGAAAAGCCCGCUCGCCGGAAGACCAAGGGUUCCUGUCCAACGUUAAUCGGGGCAGGGUGAGUCGACCCCUAAGGCGAGGCCGAAAGGCGUAGUCGAUGGGAAACAGGUUAAUAUUCCUGUACUUGGUGUUACUGCGAAGGGGGGACGGAGAAGGCUAUGUUAGCCGGGCGACGGUUGUCCCGGUUUAAGCAUGUAGGCUGGUUAUCCAGGCAAAUCCGGAUAAUCAAGGCUGAGGUGUGAUGACGAGGCACUACGGUGCUGAAGUAACAAAUGCCCUGCUUCCAGGAAAAGCCUCUAAGCAUCAGGUAACAUCAAAUCGUACCCCAAACCGACACAGGUGGUCAGGUAGAGAAUACCAAGGCGCUUGAGAGAACUCGGGUGAAGGAACUAGGCAAAAUGGUGCCGUAACUUCGGGAGAAGGCACGCUGGUGUGUAGGUGAAGCCCCUGCGGGUGGAGCUGAGACCAGUCGAAGAUACCAGCUGGCUGCAACUGUUUAUUAAAAACACAGCACUGUGCAAACACGAAAGUGGACGUAUACGGUGUGACGCCUGCCCGGUGCCGGAAGGUUAAUUGAUGGGGUUAUCCGUAAGGAGAAGCUCUUGAUCGAAGCCCCGGUAAACGGCGGCCGUAACUAUAACGGUCCUAAGGUAGCGAAAUUCCUUGUCGGGUAAGUUCCGACCUGCACGAAUGGCGUAAUGAUGGCCAGGCUGUCUCCACCCGAGACUCAGUGAAAUUGAACUCGCUGUGAAGAUGCAGUGUACCCGCGGCAAGACGGAAAGACCCCGUGAACCUUUACUAUAGCUUGACACUGAACAUUGAGCCUUGAUGUGUAGGAUAGGUGGGAGGCUUUGAAGCGUGGACGCCAGUCUGCGUGGAGCCAACCUUGAA